rnacentral:rRNA from 1 species
GUGCCAGCAGCCGCGGUAAUACCGGCAGCCCGAGUGAUGACCGAUCUUAUUGGGCCUAAAGCGUCUGUAGCUGGCUACGCAAGUCCGUCGGGAAAUCCACUCGCCCAACGAGUGGGCGUCCGACGGAAACUGCAUAGCUUGGGACCGGAAGGCUCGAGGGGUACGUCCGGGGUAGGAGUGAAAUCCCGUAAUCCUGGACGGACCACCGGUGGCGAAAGCGCCUCGAGAAGACGGACCCGACGGUGAGGAACGAAAGCCAGGGUCUCGAACCGGAUUAGAAACCCGGUAGUCC